CAUGAGCUUGCUCCCCCUACUUGUGUGCUUCUGUCCAAGAAUUUUGAUCCAUCUCUUUUUCUUAAUGUUGCUCCCUCUUUAUCCAUGUCUAUGUCUAUGUCCAAACCAACUUCCCAUAUUUCAUGUCUUUGUACCAACUUCUCUCCCUUUGUCAUCAAUUUCCAUAAAGAGUGUGAUACCAACUAAAGUUGAUACCAAUUGAAAGAGUAUGCAUCUCAUUGUGACAAAGGAUUGCAUUAGGGUAGAUGGUUGAAGCUUGAAUCCUACAUUUUUUAUGGACGUCGCCAUAUGUGUUGGAAUGACAUUACUUGACUAAGCCAUCUAGCAGCUGUAAAAGUUAGAGCUUCAUUGGACUUCUAGAUUGCUACCAGAUUUCAAUUCUUCCACCACUGCUACAUGCUGAAAACUACUGCACUAUAGCUGAUAAGAUCCACUCCAAAACCGAAGU
rnacentral:lncRNA from 1 species